rnacentral:rRNA from 1 species
AUUGAACGCUGGCGGCAUGCCUUACACAUGCAAGUCGAACGGCAGCACGGGUGCUUGCACCUGGUGGCGAGUGGCGAACGGGUGAGUAAUACAUCGGAACAUGUCCUGUAGUGGGGGAUAGCCCGGCGAAAGCCGGAUUAAUACCGCAUACGAUCUACGGACGAAAGCGGGGGACCUUCGGGCCUCGCGCUAUAGGGUUGGCCGAUGGCUGCUUGGCUAGUUGGUGGGGUAAAGGCCUACCAAGGCGACGAUCAGUAGCUGGUCUGAGAGGACGACCAGCCACACUGGGACUGAGACACGGCCCAGACUCCUACGGGAGGCAGCAGUGGGGAAUUUUGGACAAUGGGCGAAAGCCUGAUCCAGCAAUGCCGCGUGUGUGAAGAAGGCCUUCGGGUUGUAAAGCACUUUUGUCCGGAAAGAAAUCCUUGGCUCUAAUACAGUCGGGGGAUGACGGUACCGGAAGAAUAAGCACCGGCUAACUACGUG